AAGAGUAUUUAGCAAACUAAAGCUGAUAAAGACUGAACAUCGGAAUCGUCUCAAUACCGAAACUAUUGCUGCAUUAAUGGCUAUUAGUUCAUCUAUACAGCAACAAGAUUGAAAUGAAAACUAUUAACUUGCAUUGAGCAUGGGUGCAGGCUAAGUAUUAAGUAUUUUGGAAUGAAGCAAAGCAUAUCUACAAACGGAAUGACACAUAUCCAAACUAUUGGAGCUUCAAGCAUGUAUUAGCAAGUUAUUUAUUUAUAAACUCGUGGUAAGUCAAAUUAUUAUUUUACAAUUACAGUCUGUUGAGAAACUAAUAGAAAAUAAUGAGACUCAUACUUUCUUCGACUUUCUGUCACAUUUGACACUAAAAUAUGGACACAAAUUAUUUAGAUGGGAUUUUCUUAGUUCCUAAAACAUUAUUUUCAUAAUUUUUGACAAACAACUUGUUUUCGCUGUAGGAUAUGAGUAGACUAUAGCAUUUUUCAACAUUUUAGCAAAACCGUACUACUAUGAUAAAUUAUUAUCAAAAAAAUUUUUAAUUCACUGCAUCAUUAACGAAUAUAAUGACUUUACUCCUUUCCGUAACUCUAUAUUGAUUUAUAACCUCAUUUCUCUAAUUGAUUUACGAAUGAAUUUGUUCGAUAUUGGCAAUCGGUAAUAAUGUUCUACUUUACCAUAUCGUUCUGAACAUUCGAUUCCCUAUCGCUUUUUUUCCAACCUAUGGUCGCAGACAGCCAACUCGAAGAAAAAUAAAACUGAUCUAGUUCUUGCAGAAGUAUCCCGACCUAACCGUACCUUGAAGUUAAAAACCGUACCUUUUUAGAAAGCCAACCAUCCUUUUUUGGGAAAUCAUACUGGCAACACUGAUC